ACCAGGUAAUAACAUGGUUAUAUACAGGGAGUACCAGGUAAUAACACGGCUAUAUACAGGAAGUACCAGGUAAUAACAUGACUAUAUACAGGGAGUACCAGGUAAUAACAUGGCUAUAUACAGGGAGUACCAGGUAAUAACAUGGCUAUAUACAGGGAGUACCAGGUAAUAACAUGGCUAUAUACGGGGAGUACCAGGUAAUAACAUGGCUAUAUACGGGGAGUACCAGGUAAUAACAUGGCUAUAUACAGGGAGUACCAGGUAAUAACAUGGUUAUAUACAGGGAGUACCAGGUAAUAACUUGGCUAUAUACAGGGAGUACCAGGUAAUAACAUGGCUAUAUACAGGAAGUACCAGGUAAUAACAUGGCUAUAUACAGGGAGUACCAGGUAAUAACAUGACUAUAUACAGGGAG